CCCCGCCCCCGCCCCCGCCCCCGGAGGGACUGGGAGGAGUUACAGGGGCGAGAGCGGAGAAAGGCGCGGAAGGUGCUUGGAGAAAGAAUUUGGUCUGUCUUGCCUAUUGAUGUAUUCCCAAUACCCAAUCCAAGUGCCUGCAUAAAGUGGGAAUGCAGUGCAGAUUGUAUCUCUGUGCAUUGUAUCCCAGCACCUACACAGUACCACCAUCAUGGCAGGCACACGAUGAAUGAAUGGACGGAUGAGUAGACUAGAGCCAAAAGGACACCUCUGACAUUUAUUUUCAUUUCAAAGGUUUCAAACAUUCGUGUUUCCCUGGAAAGCUCAAAGACUCUGGACACCGUGUCUCAAGUGCCUAACAGAGCCCCACAAGAAUUCCAAGGCUAAAGGCAUCACGGUUCUGACCUACACCAGUGAAAGAAGGGAAGAGAAGACUGCUUUCUCUGAAUCAUAGCAAUGCUCUUUCCAAAACAAAACAAAGCAUAGAGCACAGUAAUUCUUUUUAAAGAUUUUAUCUCACAAACACAAUGAACUGUGUAAAAAUGUUAUGUGCAAAUGUGUUCACUGCAGCAGUACUGGUAAUAGAGUCAAUCAUCAGUAAGGGAUUGCUUUGCAUGUAGUACAUCACACACUGGAACACCACACAGCCAUGAAAAGGGGUGAGGUAGAUCUUUACGUGCUAACAGUGAAAUUGUCACAACUCAGUGAAAGCACAAGUUGCAAAAAAAAAAAAAAAA